rnacentral:lncRNA from 1 species
CAGGAAUGGAUGCUGGCGCUGCUGCCUGUGUAGCUUGAGGCACUGCAGGGUUUGCAGGUUGACCAGUCACAGGUGCUACGGGUGCAGCCUCAGCUUGCUCGGGGAUUCCCUGACAUUGAUCACAUCAAAAGAAUGAGAGGAAGCAUGUAUAGGUCCCCUAGCCAGAAGGUUCAAUCUAAAAAAAACAGAACUUCCUCAAGACCUAAGCAUCUUUCACAGCCCUGAUACCAUGACCAAAAAGAAUUUCAUAUAGAAAAACGAAAACAGAACAGAACUGGCCAUACGAGGCCAAGAUUGAGAAUGCUAACCAGGUGUUACCAGCACCUCGAACCAAUUCAGUAAGUAAUAACAUCAUGAAGUUAUCAGUUACUAACUACUUAAAGAUGACUGGAAAAUGGAUAAAGAAAAAGUUUACACAUCACAAAACCCGGUUCCCGUGCACAAUCCAUGUAACAAUAAAUAAAAGAACGAAUACAUCACUCUCAGUGGUUACGUUGUAUGCAAGCAUACAAUAGACGAGCCUUCAAAAGCUAAAUAGUGAUGACAAUGAAUAAAAGAAUGUUAUAAUUAAAUCUGAGCUCAUUAUCCAGCAUCUGCAGAGCAGGAAUGUCCAUUCCCAUAUAGUCUAACGCUGACAUAACUCAAGGAAAACAGCAAGCAAUCCAUAUUAAGACUUGGCAUCAGGUGCAAGGCAGCUAAACCAGCAGUAUCUCUAGAGAAACAUAAUCAAACAUACAAUUAAUUGUCUUCUCGAGGAUGUUAAUCCAGAAGACCAUUUAAAUACUCAAUUUCCCAGCUUAACCAAUUAAAAACUGAUACCAAAUGCAUUGCAUAGGAAUUUAUGGUUUAGAGAAUAUAUGUUGAUAAACAACUUACAGAAUACAGAUAUUCAACAGCUCUUUCUGGAUUGUUGUAAGCAGCACGAAGAGCACGAAUAACAGUUUCUUUAUCCCAGGCACCUCCACCCAUAUCAAUGAUUUGCUGGACUGCUCCCUCCAAGUUAUUUCCAGCUACCAAAUUAGAUGCUGCUUGACCAUAAGGAUCAACAUCAGACCUGAAACAUCAACUGCUUGAUUAAUAUUAAUUAUUAAAACAAAGCAAACACCAAUCUGGAAAGAUGUUAAAGAAGAACCUCAAGAAUCACUCUCCAAUUACAAACACAAUGAAUCAAGAGGAACUAAGAAGAUAUUAAAGCAGCAGCAACAUGGGACAAAUGAAGACCACCCAACCAUGGAAGGAAGUGAACUAAACUGGCAAAAGUACAAAAACUGUAACAUGAAGUAAAGGACAACAGUAAGAUACUAACGCAGUAGCAACUGAAGCGACCGGAGCAGCAAGUGAUGCGGGCGCUGAGACAGGAGCAGGAGCAGCCAAUCUGAAUAAACAAGAUAUUCCAACAAUCAAUCAAUAUAUAUAUUUAAAGUUAAUCAAUAUACUUAUAUUUAGAUUAUGGCAGUUAUCACACUCACGGUGUUGCUGCAGGAGCUUGAGGUGCUGUUGACAAUGGGGCACCAGUCUGAGGUGCUGCUGCUGGUGGAGCACUAGUCUGAGGUGCCUAUGCAAACAACCAUAACCUCAUUAUCCGAACAAUAACCAAUGAGGGAUACCCCCAUCAAAGAAGACCAGCUGAAGUAAACGAAGUUAGGCAAGACAACUUAUGGUGGCACACAUGCAUGUACCAAACUAAAAACCCCAAAACUAACAAAAUGCAAUCGCCAUGCGAGUUUCCAGUAUUACCUUUGCUGUUGAACCUUCUCCAGAUGCGCUUUUGCUCUACAGUUGUCAAAGCAAAUCACAGCAUUAAGAAAAUUAAACCACAAGUCUAGGAACACCACAAAAAGAACCACAAGAAAAAUAAAAUACCAAAAAAUAUGCUUGAUUUCACCUUCGUUAGCAUGACAACAAUAAAGCCAUUUUCCUCAACUUUAUUCUCCUCGAGAGUUGUGUUAUCUUUAAGAACCUUCCCCUGAUAGAUAAGCAUCUGCUGUCCAGCUGGGUAAACAUCUGAACCCUGUGCAGUUUCUAUGUGGUUUUUUACAUCAGUAACCUACAUUCAGCAACUAAAAAAUUAGGAUCGUGACAACCAUUACUAGGUGAUUUCAAUAAAAAAUACAGGAAAUUUCUGAAAAGUAUCGACAAGAAGUAUGCAAUUCAAGUUCACAGCUUUGAUUCUCCUCUCUCCGCGAAAUUUAACUCUAGAAGCAAAGGAAAACAAUAAGAAAUUGCAUGUCAAUGGACGUUGUCAUCAGUAAUGUACUACAGCAUGUAGGAAGAUUCUUGGGACGACAAAUUAUUUACGCAGUAGAGGACACUAGGUCAAAAGACCAAUAAAACAUAGUCCAUUGGUUCGAGAGAAUGACGAGCUAAAUGGAAGCUAUUACACAAACGCUUCUUCUUCUUUCCACGAUCAUUCCUUCUAAAUACCGAAGAACCGGACAUUUUGUCUUACCAUGAUAGGUAGAUAUUGUUCGGACUAUUAACGCUGAUCCCAAUCAUAAGCCAUAUUGCAACAUGAUCUAAUUUUUCGCUUUAGAUAUGAUCAAGGGAAGCUCUAUCCUCUCAACUUAUAGGCAACAAGAUCAGUGUUCCAUCUCAAAGAAACAAACAAGACCCGCAUGACGAUAUACGAAAUUCAGAGCCUAAUCCAGUAUCCCACACAAUGGUGCAGCAAGGUACGAUCACUAACUUCGCAAGAGCAGGAGAAAAGCAAAACACAGCCCAUGAAUCAGCAUAACUAGUUCAACUAACCUCUAAUUUCCACAGUCAAUCUAAGAAAAACAAUCCAAUCAUGUACGCCAAAACACAGCCCAUGAAUCAGAAAUCCCCCAAACACAGCUGAAUUUCGAGCUAGAGCAACCUAUUUGAAUUGCAGUAACAUUCGAUUGAAAUAUGAACAAUCAUCAGUCAUUCCUUGGAUUCCUAGACUGAAAUUCAACUUUCAGAAGCUAAAUACACAACAGAAGGAACCCUAAACAACAAACAAACUGCGGUUUACCGUGUCUUGGGGUUUGACUUCGAUUUCGAACUUACUGCCCUUCAAAGUCUUCACGGAAAUCUUCAUCGUGCUUGGUCGUCGUCGUCGUCGCAGCAGCCGCGAUAACUUAUUCCUUGCUCUGCGUGCUGCUUCUUCGUUUGUCAGAGACCUCCGAUCUCCGUCACAAACACCGCAAACUCCCGAUUUCACUAGCAGCUCUUUGUGCCCUCCGCGAUUGCCAAAAGGGUUUUUAUAUAUCUUUACGACUCCAAAGGCACAUAAUCGCAAGUAAGGAAUAACGGAGGGCAUUUUCGCCAAAUCAACAAGUUACUGAUUUCAGUUUCUGGGUGGAUAAAGAAGAGGCUAAGUACACAAAUGAUCACUAAAGUUAGGGGCUGCUAACAGUCACAGAACGCUUGAUAAACUUCACACAUAAGUCAUAACAUAACACUAAUCAACAAAAUUUAAACGAAUUAAAGAACUAAUCAACGUGCAAACAUUAAACUACUUACCGGAAUCUAUUUGCUUUCACACAAACUAGUUUUCACUAACUGGAAGGGAACCUUUAAAAAAACUAUAUUGAGGAUCGAUAAUGUGAUAGUUCUAUUAUUACCCUCAUAGAUAGUUAGAAACAGUUAUGUCUGUAACGAUAAGUAGAGAUUAGAGAUGCCACUGUGAUAUUGUUUAGCUGCAGUCAUCUGAAGUGGAUAAUAGUGACAAAAUCGCUUUCGUCUAGUCCAAUACUUAUUUAGAUUUUGAGGAAUGCUUUUACCAAGAUAAAAGUUGGAAUCUAUAUGCAAAGUUUAAAACAAACUCUAAUUUUAUUGUCAAUGGUAGUCGAGAGUCACGUUCGAACUUAGCUCGUGAAGGAUUGUUAACGAUCCCAGUCACCAACUAUGUGUUUGAACUCCUCGAGCUUGCAUAAUGUUGAAGUGACAUAUUGAGAGGCAAGGUAAUCAAAUCUCUACUCAACUCAAAGUCACACAGCUUAAAUUCAGCUAUUCCGCCACAAAAGGCUUAAUUUGGCGAACAAGUAGUACAUACCGAAGUGAGAAGCACCGAAUAUGCGUAUGUUUAAUCAUAUGUGGCCUAAGCUUCCUCCUCGCACCUAAUCUAAGGCCAGAUCAGUCUAGUUGUUGUAUUUAUUAAAGCCAAAUGCUGAUGGGGCAGCAGACAAACCUACCCCUCCACAUGCUGGACGGUUAGGUAAGGAAAUGAAUUCAACAACUUAACAAGAACUAAUAACAGAGGUUGUACAUUAUAAAUCAUUAUUACGUGCACGUAGCUGUUAAAUUUUCCUUCACUAACGUUACAGUCCUGCGACGAAAGCAGACGUGAGAUCCAGAGAAGAAACGUCAUGCGACUACAUAACAUGAUAAUACAACUCGGUCAUAUUGUUUUUAAAUUGUCAUUCACAGAUAUAUCCGGGAACUAAGAAGAAGAAGAAAAACUAUGAAUAAAACAGAGAGGCUGAUGAUUUUCCAAUCUAAAAUCAUUCCUCAAAAUCGUUCAUGUGAUCUAAGAGAUAGUUGGCAGCCAGUUCUUCGUUCUUGUUGCAUGCAAAGAACACUUCCAACACUAUUUGUGGAUCAAACCCCAUUGCUUCAAGCUGCACCCACAGUAGGCUCACAGAUUAAUAAGGAGUUGAAGCAGACAUAGUUGUUUUUCAUGCUAAAGUAAUAUUUUUUAUUUUAUACUUACUCGGCCCAGUGCUUCGCGCUCUUCGGGAGUCACUUGCACCGCCUGCGGCAUUGCAGCAGCAAGCUGCCCCAAUAUGCCCCUGUAUAAAAUAGCUUGAGGGAUUCAGUACAUAGACAUGAUCAAUUCGUUCAACAACAACCAAACCAGCAGAGACAGAUACUUACUCCUCACCACCCUCGACAGGUUCAUUUAUUAGGCGAAGAAAGUCCGUCUGGUGCUCCUGAAUUAGUCUCAUCAGUUGGGGAUUCUGCUUUCCUAAUUCUUGAAGCAUGGGCUGGAAAAUUAAACAGCAAAUUAAUUAGUGGUGCAUAUUCAGAACAAAAGAGACUUCAAAUUUUGAUAACGUAUCUGGAAAAGUUAGUAGCACCUGCAAUAUCUGUGGGUUAGCCUGCACCAUAGCUCGCAAGGCUUGGAACUGGUGAUAUAAUACAGUUACAAAUCAGAGAUCAAUAACAAAUGAGAAGAACUAUUAUUCAGGAAAGACGAAAUCACCUGUUGACUGUUUCUCAAGAAGUCUAGGUUUCCUGCACCGGCACCACCUGCUGCUCCAGCAGUAGGAAGGCCCUUCAGCAGAGAAAAAAGCACUAGUCAUUUCCAAACUAUACUAGCUACCGAUACUUUGUUAUUUGAUUGGCAGGCAUCAGUAUUCCAGGCUACCUGAGGGAAAAGAUCCAGAGGAUUCGCAUUGGGUCCUGCAGGAGGAAUGGCAAUUGGCGCUGCUGCUUGUGUAGCUUGAGCCACUGCAGGGUUUGCAGGUUGACCAGUCACAGGUGCUUGUACAGGUGCAGUCUCAGCUUGCUCAGGGAUCCCCUGACAAUGGUUACAUAAGAAAUUCAAGACAAAAGAACCUAACAGAAAGCAAUAUACUGACUACUUAAAGAUGAAUGGACGCAUGCAUAGUAAAGAGAAGUUUGAACAUCACAGAACCCAGUUCCUAUGUACAAUCUGUGUAACAAAAUUACCAAAUGAAUCCAUCAGUCUUGGUGGUUAAGGGGUAUAGAAGAGCCCUCAAAAGCUAAAGAGUGAUGACAAUAGAUCAAAAAGAAUA